GAUGAACGCUGGCGGCGUGCCUAAUACAUGCAAGUCGAGCGAACGGACGCUAAGCUUGCUUCUCUGAUGUUUGCGGCUGGCGUGUGAGUAACACGUGGAUCACCUACCUAUCUUACUGGGAUAACUUCGGGAAACCGGCUCUAAUACCGUAUAAUAUUUUGCACCGCAUGGUUCAAAAGUGCAAUACGGCCUUUCUGUCACUUCUAGAUGGUUCCGGGCUGCAUUAGCUAGUUGGUACGUUCACGGCCUACCACGGCGACUAUGCCUAGCCGAACUGAGAGGGUGAUAGGCCACACUGGAACGGAGACACGGUCCAGGCUACUAAGGGAGGCAGCAGUAGGGAAUGUGAGGCAAAGGGCGAAAGCCUGACACAGCGAGGCGGCGUGAGUGAUGAAGGCCUUCGGAGCGUAAAGCCCUGUUAUUGGGGAAGAACAUAUGUGGAAGUAGAUGUGGAGAGCGUGACGGUACCUAAUCAAAAAGCAACGGCUAACUACGUG
rnacentral:rRNA from 1 species